rnacentral:rRNA from 1 species
AGUCAUAUGCUUGUCUCAAAGAUUAAGCCAUGCACGUCUAAGUACAAUCGUGUAUUAACCGAGAAACUGCAGAUGGCUCAUUAGAUCAGUUAUGGUUCAUUGGAGCCAGUUCACGACCAUGGAUAACUGUGGUAAUUCUAGAGCUAAUACAUGCAUCUAAGCGCCGACCCUUCGGGGGAAGCGUGCUUUUAUUAGGAACAAGGCCAGCCCGGUGUCUCGCUUCGGCGUGCCCGGUCUCCGCUGGUGAACUCUAGAUAACCCAGCCGAUCGCACGGUCUCGCACCGGCGACGCUCCCUUCAAAUGUCUGCUCUAUCAACUGUCGAUGGUACGUUAUGCGCUUAUCAUGGUAGUGACGGGUAACGGAGAAUCAGGGUUCGAUUCCGGAGAGGGAGCCUGAGAAACGGCUACCACAUCCAAGGAAGGCAGCAGGCACGCAAAUUACCCACUCCUGACACGGGGAGGUAGUGACAAAAAAUAACGAUACAGGCCUCUUCGGAGGCCCUGUGAUCGGAAUGAGUACACUUUAAAUCCUUUAACGAGGAUCUACUGGAGGGCAAGUCUGGUGCCAGCAGCCGCGGUAAUUCCAGCUCCAGCAGCGUAUAUUAAAUUUGCUGCAG